rnacentral:misc_RNA from 1 species
UACGGAGGGUGCAAACGUUAAUCGGAAUUACUGGGCGUAAAGCGCGCGUAGGUGGUUUCUUAAGUGGGAUGUGAAAGCCCAGGGCUCAACCUUGGAACUGCAUUCCAAACUGAGAGACUAGAGUACGAUAGAGGGAGGUAGAAUUCAGAGUGUAGCGGUGAAAUGCGUAGAUAUUCUGAGGAAUACCAGUGGCGAAGGCGGCCUCCUGGAUUGAUACUGACACUGAGGCGCGAAAGCGUGGGGAGCAAACAGG